CCAAUAGCGUAUAUUAAAGUUGUUGCAGUUAAAAAGCUCGUAGUUGAAUUUCGGAAUUAAUAUGCUGGUCGUGCCAUUGGUACGUACUAGUAUUAUUGAUUUCUCCCUUCUGAUGAAUCAUGAUGUCAUUAAUUUGAUGUCAUGGGGAAUCAGGACUGUUACUUUGAAAAAAUUAGAGUGUUUAAAGCAGGCUUCGCGCUUGAAUACAUUAGCAUGGAAU
rnacentral:rRNA from 1 species